GGUGUAGGCGGUUUUAUAAGUCAGAAGUGAAAGCCCUGGGCUCAACCCAGGAAGUGCUUUUGAUACUAUUUAACUUGAGUAUGGGAGAGGGAAGCAGAAUUCCUGGUGUAGUGGUGAAAUACGUAGAUAUCAGGAGGAACACCGGAGGCGAAGGCGGCUUCCUGCCCAAUACUGACGCUCAGACCCGAAAGCGUGGGUAGCAAACAGGAUUAGAUACCCUGGUAGUCC
rnacentral:rRNA from 1 species